AUCACCUGUCGCUCUGUUAAAGGCAGCAGUCGGGAAGCAGAAGGGGUGUAUGGUGGAUGGCAGAGCAGGCCGAGAGAAAGAGAGCGACAUUUAACAGACAGAGCCAAAAGACAUUUGCUGGAAAGCAGAAGAAAAACCAUUCGUGUGCUCAGGUGGUGAAAGAGCGAGCGAUGACAUGGAGAGUGCUGAGAUGGACAAAAAGGACAUUAUAUUGAAAAAUAAAAGACUGUUCCAAGCCCUGAACGCAGCUGUGAUGUCCGUGGUGGGUGAUCCAGAGAACCCGGAAGAAAGAGACCUGUUUAAUGAGUCUAUGCUGUCGGAUCUGACUGGGCCAGAGCGGCGUGUGGUAACCGGACCCUGAUGCGUCGUCCACUGACUCGUCCUGCUGCACGUGUUGUGUACAAAUCGUCAAACAAACGUUCGAACUUCUGACUUCGACUUCGGACUGCCGCCCCCCUACCGCCCCCUUCUUCCUCACCGCCACCCCGGAUCUUUCCAGGUACCGCCCACUUUGGGAACCACUGUUUUAGAGACAUUUACUAGUUUGAUUCUGGGAAAUCCCUUAUAUUUCUAUUGUGUUGCUAGUGUUUUAGUGAGUUAAAUAGUACCUGAUAGUCGGAAGGGUGUCUCCACGGGUGUCUUGACGCGCAGUGUCUCAGGGGAGUCGAAGGCAGCUAUGGACGGCACAAGCUCAGCUUUUCUCCGGUAAGAACUGACUUUUUAACCACAAUUUUCUCACCGAAACCUGCUGGUUGACAUUCGGUCGGGAUCCAUGUUCGCUCUGAUCCAUGGUAAAGUUUCACCUCCAGGAAUUUAAAAAAAGGAAUCCCCGUGUGUUUGUGUGGCUAAAGGCUAAGCUUCCCAAUUCCAUCUUUCUGCUGUGACUUCUCCAAUAUUAAUUGAACAAAUUGCAAAAGAUUCAGCAACACAGAUGUCCAAAAUACUGUGUAAUUAUGCCGUUAAAGCAGACGACUUUUAGCUGUGUGUGUGUGCAGCGCUCAUAUUUCCUAAAAACCAGUGACGUCUUGCGUACACGUCAUCAUUACACGACGUUUUCUACAGGAAACUCCCGGGAAAUUUAAAAUUGUAAUUUAGUAAACUAAAAAGGCCGUAUUGGCAUGUGUUGCAAUGUUAAUAUUUCAUCAUUGAUAUAUAAACUAUCAGACUGCGUGGUGGGUAGUAGUGGGUUUCAGUAGGUCUUUAAAGCAGGGGUAGGGAACCUAUGGCUCUCGAGCUAGAUGUGGCUCUUUUGAUAACUGCAUCUGGCUCUCAGAUAAAUUUUAUCCGACAUUGUUUUAUAAACGAUAAGUAAUGAAUUAUUACAGUGUUAAAAAUAACGUUUAAAAUAUAAAACAUUCUCAUGCAUUUCAAGAAGUUGCAUUAACGGUAAGAAGUAUGUCAUUUAUUAUUGGUUAACUUCAGAAUAACAAUGUUGUUAAAGGAGAACAUUAUCACCAAACCUAUGUAAGCGUCAAUAUAUACCUUGAUGUUGCAGAAAAAAGACCAUAUAUUUUUUGAACCGAUUUCCGAACUCUAUAAAUGGGGGAAUUUUGGCGAAUUAAACGCCUUUCUGUUUAUGGCUCUUGUAGCGAUGACGUCAGUACGUGACGUUACCUAGGUAAGAAAGCCGCCAUUUUAAUUUUUUCAAACACAUUACAAACACCGGGUCUCAGCUCUGUUAUUUUCCGUUUUUUCGACUAUUUUUUGGAACCUUGCAGACAUCAUGCCUCGACGGUGUGUUGUCGGAGGGUGUAACAACACUCACAGGGAGGGAUUCAAGUUGCACCACUGGCAAGAAAUCUGCCGCCAGACCCCCAUCGAAUGUGCCGGAGUGUCUCCACAUUUUACCAGCGAUGACAGACAUGGCACAGAGAUGUAUGGAUAACCUGCAGAUGCAUUUGCAACGAUAAAGUCAACGAAAUCACAAAGUGUCAAAAUCUUGUCAAGCCUCUCGACCAUUGAAAUCCCUGCGGGUUCGUAUGUGGCUCGAUGAUUCUGUCAGGUACUGUCCGUCUCGAACCCCAAGAUGCAGAGAUGGCAGGCGUAGCCCAGGAAAACAUGACUGGUAAGUGUACAUGCAGGGAAAACGGGAAACAAUCAUUGAGCCCUGACUGGAGGGCGAGGCAGGCAUGAAUAGCAGCCGGUUUGGCAAUUGCAACCAGGUGUGCCAGGCUGCCAAUCAGGAACA